rnacentral:rRNA from 1 species
AGACUAUUACAGGUACGGGCUCUGAGAGGAGUAGCCCGGAGAUGGGUACUGAGACACGGACCCAGGCCCUAUGGGGCGCAGCAGGCGAGAAAACUUUGCAAUGUGCGAAAGCACGACAAGGUUAAUCCGAGUGGUUCCUGCUAAAGGAACCUUUUGUUAGUCCUAGAAACGCUAACGAAUAAGGGGUGGGCAAGUUCUGGUGUCAGCCGCCGCGGUAAAACCAGCACCUCAAGUGGUCAGGAUGAUUAUUGGGCCUAAAGCAUCCGUAGCCGGCUCUGUAAGUUUUCGGUUAAAUCUGUACGCUCAACGUACAGGCUGCCGGGAAUACUGCAGAGCUAGGGAGUGGGAGAGGUAGACGGUACUCGGUAGGAAGGGGUAAAAUCCUUUGAUCUAUCGAUGACCACCAGUGGCGAAGGCGGUCUACCAGAACACGUCCGACGGUGAGGGAUGAAAGCUGGGGGAGCAAACCGGAUUAGAUACCCGGGUAGUCCCAGCUGUAAACUAUGCAAACUCAGUGAUGCAUUGGCUUGUGGCCAGUGCAGUGCCGCAGAGAAGUCGUUAAGUUUGCCGCCUGGGAAGUACGUACGCAA